rnacentral:lncRNA from 1 species
GAGAAGAGAAGCUGCUGUGGAGUCAUGCGCAAUAACAGGUCAGGACCAGAAGCCAAGAGGACUUUGUCUUGACCUCAGGGAUGUAAGAGAUUAUUGGGAGUCCCAUCUGUUGGCACACAGAUCUAGCCAGGAGGUUUGACCCUGUGCAGCUCAUUACUGGAUGGCUCCGCCCAGGUGCCUUCAAACCUGCAACUACUUACUUCUAGUGGGAAGGGGAUCAGUGACCUGGCUGAUUAAGCCAGGGAUGGCAGCAGAGCAUUCUCAAAAUGCAGACUUAGGAAAUCUGCAUCCAAAUCCCCAGGGAGCCUAUUAAACACAAGGCCAUCCAGCCCCCCUGACCUACCUGAUCAGGGCAUACAGCAGGGCACUGGCCCUUUAACAAGCUCCCCAGGGGCCUGGAUGCCCUAGGAAGUAUGGAAAUUGCUACUGUAGUUUGCAUUUUGUAAAAUAUCAAUGUUUAACCCAAAGGACAGAUGAUUUUGCUUCAGGAACUGAUACACUUGGCAGCACAUUUUGGGCACAGCAAUGCUUGGGGACUCUGCCAUAUCACACCACGUAGGAGAGGGCCGUUUCCACACAGAACUGGCUGAGCCGCUCUGGGGCUUACAAACCUGGGCUCCUUCUGAUUUCAAAUGUUUGACUGUGGAAAGCGAGAGGGUCCUUCUUUACCCCUCUCUGGAGGCUGCUCCUGGCAGCUUUUUUAUUGGUGACAGGCCGUGACAGUCUUAGGGGAACAAUUCCUUGGGGACGGGGCAGGAGGAAGGGCAGGGGUCCGAUGCAGCAUGGGACCAUCAGGGGACCUGUGCGUGGGUCUCUGGGCCAUCUGGUCCUUCAUAUCUUAAUUCUAUCAGCGUGAUGGAUGGCCAUGGGACCCAGAUUACAUCAUGGGGUUAGUUUAUUACAUUUUUGAAUACCCCUUUGCGGGAGAGACUGUUUUUCAAAGUUAUUUGCAUGUUUUCCACCAUAAUGACAAUACAGAGGACGGCAGCUGGGAGGGAAGAGUGGGGUGAAGGGGGAGAAAGAGCUUAUUUGCCGCCUGGAGCAGGCCCCUGGGGGCUCCACAAGGGGAUGAAGGGGAAACACUCCCAAGAGACAUCUACAUGGAAACAGAGCAGGUGAGCACAAGACAGGCUGAGCAGCAGCCAGCCAAGACUGGGGCCCACCCAGGCGGCGCGGGUGCUGGGGUCGCUGAACAAUCACAGGAUAAGCCACUGGUAAAACAAGACCCAGUGAAGUCUCCAGACCCCAAGAUGCUCUGAGCUCACUCCCAUGCCCUGACGCUGGUCCCAGGAUGGAUUCGCUAUCCUAUCCCGCCUGAGGUUCCCAGGACACCAGGAGAAGGGGACAGACAUAGUGAGUGAGGCACACAGCUUGGAGACAAUCCCACUGAUGCUCAAGGCCUAGGCAGUUGGAAUAUCUCCUGAACAGGGACCCAGCCUCACCCAGUCUUUCAGCACCUUACCCAGGACCUGGCCAAAUUCAGGUGCCCAGGGAAUGUGUUAAAUGCGUGGACCAAAGAAUCAUGGAGGAAGGAUCCCAGCAGCUCAGGAGGCUGAGGCAGGAGGAUGGCGAGUUCAAAGCCAGCCUCAGCAAAAGUGAGGUCCUAAGCAACUCAGUGAGACCCUGUCUCUAAGUCAAAUACAGAAUAGGGUGGGGGUGUGGCUCAGUGGUCGAGUGCCCCUGAGUUCAAUCCCCAGUACCCCCACCAAAAAAAAAAGCCUGCUGGAGGAAGGGAAUCCUGGUGGACGCAGCUCAUCAGCACUUGCCUGGCUCGGGCCCUGUGUGGUCUGGGUAAGGAGAAAACAGCUCUGAUUUCAGAGCCUGGGCUGUAGGUGGCGAUGUGGAGAGAAGAGCUGUUUUCAAAAACAAAGCAGGGUUUUGCCAUGUUCCCCACAGCGCCCCCUAUGCCCACCAGGCCUGCUUCUCUCCCCAGCACUGCUCCGUAACCAACUGCAAGGCCCUUCUCUCUCUGAACCUCAGUUUGCUCGUCUGAAAAAUGGGAUAAUGGGUCAAUUCCAUAGGGAUGAGUUAAUGGGAUACUCUUUGUUAAAACAUAAAAUGCAUAGUGCCUGGUGUAUAAAUGCUCAAUCGAUGGCCAUUAUGACAAUGAUAUUAAGACCCAUGCUCACUAUUUAAGUCCCCAGAACAACCACUUUGUACGAGCCAAUGUCCCAACCAUUCAUAGCUACACCACCUCCCGGUUUCUGCUUCCCAAGGCGGCAGCACCCGUGGUGACCUAGGGAAGCACACACAUCCCUGCGGCAUGAGAAGCCUAAAGAUGAGGGCAGGGACCCACAGACACUCCUCUCCUCCCUCACCUGGCCUGCAGUGAGGCUGGGCCUGCACAGCUGCGCCUGAUCUUGGGGUCCACUGAUGACCAGAACCCUGAUCUUGUUCCAGUAACACUGGACAACUUCCAACACCUCAGCCAGACCAAAGCCCACCCACGCCGGGCCCUCUGGGGGGUUCUGCUGACUUCCCAGUGGUGUUGACCCCUCGUUGGUCAGGGGGACCUUAAGAUCAUCUCUUCUUAAACUUUGCUCUCUUCUCAAAGAAAUGCACCAGGAAGCUAAAUAUCUUACACGAUUUUCGGAGUUUUUGGAUCCUCUGAAGCCAUCCUGGGCCACAAGAAUCACUGAUUCAGCUCAACUACCACUUUAAAAAAAAAAAUACUAUCUUUGUUGAGAUAUAAUUCUCAAGCCAAAGUUCAGACUUUUCUGUGGGUAAUUCAGCUGUUUUUAGUACAGGCAGAGUCGUGCAUCUAUCACCACCACCUAAUUCAUCACCCGAAAACCAAAUUCCCCUUCCCCACCAGCAGCCAGCCCUGCCUUCCCUUCCCUUGGCCCCUGGCCACCACCAAUCCACCUGCUGCUUCUGUGGACUUUCCUGUUCUGAAUAGUAUAAUCAUAGAAUUUGUGGCCUUUUAGGUCUUAGCACAAGGUCACAGGUUCAUCUAGGUUGUGUCAUGUAUUGAUACUUUGUUCCUUUUUAUGGCAGAAUACUAUUCCCUCAUGAAUACACCACAUUUCCCUUACUCUCUCCUCAGUUGAUGGAUCUUUGGCCAUUCGACUGCCCCAGGUUAUAGAUGGGGAAACUGAGGGCCAAAGUCACCAAAACCUGGCUGGGAAAGGAGUCUGGGUCUCUCCUAACAUCCACCAUUUCCCCACAGUAUCGCUUUGGAAGAACCCAGAGAACACAGUUCAAGCUUAUCAAAAGAUCACCAAACAGCUACAGCAGCCCUGGAGCCAGAGUCUCCAGGGUUUAUCAUCUGGUACAUAAAUGCCAUACCACAGCUUUCUCCUUGAAGAGAAGAAUCCUGCCGCCCUUGCCUUUAUCCCACUGAAAUCUAGUCUCAAGUUUAGAAAUCAGUCAAUCAGUUAAAACCCAAGUAGGAGCAUGUCUCUGUUGUGCUCACAGCCCUCCAAUUCAGACUAAAAAAACCCAGAGCCUUUACCAUGGCCUUCACAGACUCAUCUGAUCCGGUGCCAGCUUCCUGUCUGACUUUAUUGCACAAGAUCCCUUCCUUGAACAGAUGAAGCAUUCUCCUACCUCAGGACCUUAGCACUGGCUGUUCCUUUGAACUGCAUUCUCCUUCAGUCACAUGUUUCAUUUUCUUUACGAAAUGAACAAACCAACCCAACUGCCAAAGAUGGCUUUCCUGACAAUUUUAUGUAAAACCAUACCUCUUGGAAACCUCUUAUGCUUUCUUUCCUAAAUGUGCUUUGUCUUCCUAGCACUAACCACCACCUGAUUAUUUGCUAACUUGUUUAUGUUCUGCCUCCUUCACUAGAACUUAAGCUCCACAGAGCAAGGAUUGAUUCUUGUCCAGGUCAUUUACCACUGCAUUUUUGUGCUGGCCAGCACGUAGUAGGUGUUCAGUAGAUUCUUACGGGAUUAAUGAUUCA